AUGCCCUACGGGGGGCAGCAGUGAGGAAUAUUGGUCAAUGGGAGAGAUCCUGAACCAGCCAAGCCGCGUGAGGGAAGACGGCCCUAUGGGUUGUAAACCUCUUUUGUCGGAGAACAAAACCCGGGACGAGUCCCGGACUGCGUGUAUCCGAAGAAAAAGCAUCGGCUAACUCCGUGCCAGCAGCCGCAGUAAUACGGAGGAUGCGAGCGUUAUCCGGAUUUAUUGGGUUUAAAGGGUGCGUAGGCGGUCCGUUAAGUCAGCGGUCAAAUUGCGGGG
rnacentral:rRNA from 1 species